rnacentral:lncRNA from 1 species
CAAAGACUGAAUCCCACUCACCUGGAGAGGAAAAGGAGAACUGGAAGAACCGUCCUUAUUUGUGUUCACAGGAGACAGAUGUCUUAAUUGAGUCACUGAGAUUUAGCACUCAAUUCCAUAAGCAUAACAAAUUAACGUGCCCUAAGAAGAGAAUGCUAAGGAUUUUUGAAUACACAUGUGCUCUUUUCUCAGAGGAAAGAAUUUGAUGAAGCUAAUUAUUAGAAGGAAGACAAGCAUGAGAUUAAAAGCACACAGUCUCCCAUUUUUGAUG